rnacentral:rRNA from 1 species
AUUGAACGCUGGCGGCAUGCCUUACACAUGCAAGUCGAACGGUAACAGGUCUUCGGAUGCUGACGAGUGGCGAACGGGUGAGUAAUACAUCGGAACGUGCCUAGUAGUGGGGGAUAACUACUCGAAAGAGUAGCUAAUACCGCAUGAGAUCUACGGAUGAAAGCAGGGGAUCGCAAGACCUUGUGCUACUAGAGCGGCCGAUGGCAGAUUAGGGAGUUGGUGGGAAACAAGCUUACCAAGCCGACGAUCUGUCGCGGGUCUGGGAGGACGAUCAGCCACACUGGGACUGAGACACGGCCCAGACCCCUACGGGAGGAAGCAGUGGGAAAUUUUGGACAAUGGGCGAAAGCCUGAUCCAGAAUGCCGCGUGCAGGAUGAAGGCCUUCGGGUUGUAAACUGCUUUUGUACGGAACGAAAAGCCCCGGGUUAAUACCCUGGGGUCAUGACGGUACCGUAAGAAUAAGCACCGGCUAACUACGUGCCAGCAGCCGCCGUAAAAC